UACGGAGGGGGCUAGCGUUGUUCGGAAUUACUGGGCGUAAAGGGCGCGUAGGCGGUCGUGACAAGUCACUUGUGAAAUCUCCGGGCUUAACUCGGAACGGUCAAGUGAUACUGUCGGACUAGAGUACAGAAGGGGCAACUGGAAUUCUCGGUGUAGCGGUGAAAUGCGUAGAUAUCGAGAGGAACACCUGCGGCGAAGGCGGGUUGCUGGGCU
rnacentral:rRNA from 1 species